UACAGAGGGUGCAAGCGUUAAUCGGAAUUACUGGGCGUAAAGCGUGCGUAGACGGUUACAUAAGUCGGGUGUGAAAGCCCCGGGCUCAACCUGGGAAUUGCAUUCGAGACUGCGUAGCUAGGGUGCGGAAGAGGGAAGCGGAAUUCCUGGUGUAGCGGUGAAAUGCGGUAGAUAUCAGGAGGAACACCUGUGGUGUAGACAGCUUACUGGACCAUUCUGACGCUGAGACACGAAAGCGUGGGUAGCAAACAGG
rnacentral:rRNA from 1 species